rfam:Cryptococcus neoformans var. neoformans JEC21 chromosome 5, complete sequence.
GCCCUCAUGGUGUAGUGGUAACACGAAGGUCUCAUAUGAAUUUGGCUCUUCGGUCAGCUCGUAAUCCUCAGCUCUGAGUUCGAUUCUCAGUGAGGGCA